rnacentral:rRNA from 1 species
UACGGAGGGUGCAAGCGUUAUCCGGAUUUACUGGGUUUAAAGGGUGUGUAGGCGGGCUUUUAAGUCAGUGGUGAAAUCUCCGGGCUCAACCUGGAAACUGCCAUUGAUACUAUUAGUCUUGAAUUUUGUUGAGGUAGGCGGAAUAAGUCAUGUAGCGGUGAAAUGCAUAGAUAUGACUUAGAACACCAAUUGCGAAGGCAGCUUGCUAAACAAAUAUUGACGCUGAGGCACGAAAGCGUGGGGAUCAAACAGGAUUAGAUACUUGUAG